GGGCGCUUGGUCUAGGGGUAUGAUUUUCGUUUCGCACCAUGAAGUAACUACGAAAGGUCGUGGGUUCAAUUCCCACAGCGUCCA
rnacentral:tRNA from 1 species